GGGGGUGACUGGUUUCGACAGGGUAGGUCUGAGGUGGGCAGCAAGCCGUGGUCUCCUCGCCACGUAAAACUGGGGUGCCGUCAAAUUUAAUUGACAACGAUUCUUACCAGGGCUCUUACGCCCUCGCCGCUUAAUCUAAAAGUGGCCGUCUAACCAGGGGAUUCUCCCGCUCCUGGGGUGACGUCAUCCAAGGGAGAUGCUCCUUGGGACGUAGUUGGUAUGCCCGAGGCCAAGCCUGAACCAGCUGGGACGCAGAACGUGGGUCACGGGAUGCGAUGCGUCCGAGAUCCAACCGGUGACUGAGCUUGGAGACACCUGCCAGGGAUUUGCUUUGGACCGGAGUUCGACUCUCCGCACCUCCACCA
rfam:Olsenella uli DSM 7084, complete genome.